UACGGAGGGGGCUAGCGUUGCUCGGAAUUACUGGGCGUAAAGGGCGCGCAGGCGGAACACAUAGUCAGGCGUGAAAGCCCCGGGCUUAACCUGGGAACAGCGCUUGAUACUUGUGAUCUGGAGUCUCGGAGAGGGUGGUGGAAUUCCCAGUGUAGAGGUGAAAUUCGUAGAUAUUGGGAAGAACACCAGUGGCGAAGGCGGCCACCUGGACGAGUACUGACGCUGAGGCGCGAAAGCGUGGGGAGCAAACAGG
rnacentral:rRNA from 2 species